GUAUUGUGUUGACUGGGUAAUGCUAUGGAGGAUUUAGAGACGUGUUGACUGGUUAAUGCUAUGGAGGAUAUAGAGACGUGUUGACUGGUUAAUGCUAUGGAGGAUAUAGAGACGUAUUGUGUUGACUGGUUAAUGCUAUGGAGGAUAUAGAGACGUGUUGUGUUGACUGGUUAAUGCUAUGGAGGAUAUAGAGACGUGUUGUGUUGACUGGUUAAUGUUAUGGAGGAUAUAGAGACGUGUUGUGUUGACUGGUUAAUGUUAUGGAGGAUAUAGAGAUGUAUUGUGUUGACUGGUUAAUGCUAUGGAGGAUAUAGAGAUGUAUUGUGUUGACUGGUUAAUGCUAUGGAGGAUAUAGAGAUGUAUUGUGUUGACUGGUUAAUGCUAUGGAGGAUAUAGAGACGUGUUGACUGGUUAAUGCUAUGGAGGAUAUAGAGACGUGUUGACUGGUUAAUGCUAUGGAGGAUAUAGAGACGUGUUGACUGGUUAAUGCUAUGGAGGAUAUAGAGACGUGUUGACUGGUUAAUGCUAUGGAGGAUAUAGAGACGUGUUGACUGGUUAAUGCUAUGGAGGAUAUAGAGACGUGUUGUGUUGACUGGUUAAUGCUAUGGAGGAUAUAGAGACGUGUUGUGUUGACUGGUUAAUGCUAUGGAGGAUAUAGAGACGUGUUGACUGGUUAAUGUUAUGGAGGAUAUAGAGACAUAUUGUGUUGACUGGUUAAUGCUAUGGAGGAUAUAGAGACGUGUUGACUGGUUAAUGCUAUGGAGGAUAUAGAGAUGUAUUGUGUUGACUGGUUAAUGCUAUGGAGGAUAUAGAGACGUGUUGACUGGUUAAUGCUAUGGAGGAUAUAGAGACGUGUUGACUGGUUAAUGUUAUGGAGGAUAUAGAGAUGUAUUGUGUUGACUGGUUAAUGCUAUGGAGGAUAUAGAGACGUGUUGACUGGUUAAUGCUAUGGAGGAUAUAGAGACGUAUUGUGUUGACUGGUUAAUGCUAUGGAGGAUAUAGAGAUGUAUUGUGUUGACUGGUUAAUGCUAUGGAGGAUAUAGAGAUGUAUUGUGUUGACUGGUUAAUGCUAUGGAGGAUAUAGAGACGUAUUGUGUUGACUGGUUAAUGCUAUGGAGGAUAUAGAGACGUGUUGACUGGUUAAUGCUAUGGAGGAUAUAGAGACGUGUUGACUGGUUAAUGCUAUGGAGGAUAUAGAGAUGUAUUGUGUUGACUGGUUAAUGCUAUGGAGGAUAUAGAGACGUAUUGUGUUGACUGGUUAAUGCUAUGGAGGAUAUAGAGAUGUAUUGUGUUGACUGGUUAAUGCUAUGGAGGAUAUAGAGACGUAUUAUGUUGACUGGUUAAUGCUAUGGAGGAUAUAGAGACGUGUUGACUGGUUAAUGCUAUGGAGGAUAUAGAGAUGUAUUGUGUUGACUGGUUAAUGCUAUGGAGGAUAUAGAGACGUGUUGACUGGUUAAUGCUAUGGAGGAUAUAGAGACGUGUUGACUGGUUAAUGUUAUGGAGGAUAUAGAGAUGUAUUGUGUUGACUGGUUAAUGCUAUGGAGGAUAUAGAGACGUGUUGACUGGUUAAUGCUAUGGAGGAUAUAGAGACGUGUUGUGUUGACUGGUUAAUGCUAUGG
rnacentral:lncRNA from 1 species